rnacentral:rRNA from 1 species
GACGAACGCUGGCGGCGUGCCUAACACAUGCAAGUCGAGCGGGGACAUAUACGGAAGGUCUUCGGAUUGGAAGAAUAUGUUCUAGCGGCGGACGGGUGAGUAACGCGUGAACAAUCUGUCCCAGACAGGGGGAUAACAGAUGGAAACAUCUGCUAAUACCGCAUAAGACCACGUCCUCACAUGAGGGAAAGGUAAAAGGAGCAAUCCGGUUUGGGGUGAGUUCGCGUCCGAUUAGCUAGUUGGUGAGGUAACGGCCCACCAAGGCGACGAUCGGUAGCCGACCUGAGAGGGUGAUCGGCCACAUUGGAACUGAGAGACGGUCCAA